AAUACAGCACCAGGAAUCAGCAUUCUUAAACUCCACUAGCUGCCUCCUUUUAUUCUGUUCCCUUCAGGAGCCAUAUCAAAAAGGUACCUCUACAGCCAUUCCCAAAUCUGAAUAUACUACGGAAGCAAACACAGGACUAACAAGCUCUGCCAUCAGACAGGACUGGAAACUUGUCUGCAGAAGAGAAAGAAUGAAGGUAUCCAGACCUGACGUGCUGCGAUUCACAGGAAUAGUGUUUCCCAAUCUUUCCAUUUUCACAGCAGUUCUGGAUUGCAAAUAUCAUCCCAGAAGCCCUCAGCUCACACCUGCCUACAGAUACAGAACAGAGCUCACCCACAAGGUAGUGGCACAAGGAAAGAGGUAUUCUGAGGAAAUAAGUGAUUCUGAGAGCAGAGGAAUGAAGGGAGAGUGUGCACAGGUUCUGCAGUGUCUAAUACGGACUGGAUCUGUCCUCCUGUCUACUCCUCAGGAAUAUUAGGAUCUCACCCUUCUACCCAGCCAUCUAUUUUUAUUAUAUUUGCAGGGCCUCAUCAUUUUACCUACUGUUCUGGUUCCAAUGCCACUGAGAUUGCAGGUACAUGCUGCUGAUCUUAGUAUAUUAAUAGUGCCGGAUUAGACACUGUGCAGUAGUAGGUGUGCUGCUGCCAAAAAUGAAGAACAGAAAAGCCAAGACACCAAUUAAACUGUCGGUUGCUAUUAGGAGGAUUUUUCUGAUUUAAAGCACGCCCGUCAGAAUGCGUCCGCUAUCAUAACUAAAGCAAAACAAAAGAAGAAACACGGCAAGCUAUCGGGCUCCCAGUUUGAUUUGCUGCGCCAAGUGCUUUUGGAGCACUUGGAAACAUCAUUCACUGGAGUCCAAGGAGAAAGCUGAAGUCCAAAUAAGCAAGUGUAGAGUUCAUCUAUGGGAGGAAAAAAUGACCUAUUUUGCUGAUUUCCAUCAAGUAUGAAACCUGAUGUGAUGUUGCAUUGUUAUUGGCAAAUGACCUUUGAAAAUAAAACACAAGUGACUUUU
rnacentral:lncRNA from 7 species